AACGAACGCUGGCGGCAUGCCUAACACAUGCAAGUCGAACGAGACCUUCGGGUCUAGUGGCGCACGGGUGCGUAACGCGUGGGAACCUGCCCUUAGGUUCGGAAUAACUCCCCGAAAGGGGUGCUAAUACCGGAUAAUGUCUUCGGACCAAAGAUUUAUCGCCUUUGGAUGGGCCCGCGUUGGAUUAGCUAGUUGGUAGGGUAAAAGCCUACCAAGGCGACGAUCCAUAGCUGGUCUGAGAGGAUGAUCAGCCACACUGGGACUGAGACACGGCCCAGACUCCUACGGGAGGCAGCAGUGGGGAAUAUUGGACAAUGGGCGAAAGCCUGAUCCAGCAAUGCCGCGUGAGUGAUGAAGGCCUUAGGGUUGUAAAGCUCUUUUGCCCGGGAUGAUAAUGACAGUACCGGGAGAAUAAGCUCCGGCUAACUCCGU
rnacentral:rRNA from 1 species